rnacentral:tRNA from 1 species
GCGGAUGUAGCUCAACGGAUAGAGUACCGCACUACGAAUGCGUUGGUUGGGAGUUCGAAUCUCUUCAUCCGCACCA